UACAGAGGUCUCAAGCGUUGUUCGGAUUCAUUGGGCGUAAAGGGUGCGUAGGUGGUGGGGUAAGUCGGAUGUGAAAUCCCGGGGCUCAACCCCAGAACUGCAUUCGAUACUGCCUUGCUCGAGUACUGGAGAGGAGACUGGAAUUUACGGUGUAGCAGUGAAAUGCGUAGAUAUCGUAAGGAAGACCAGUGGCGAAGGCGAGUCUCUGGACAGUUACUGACACUGAGGCACGAAGGCCAGGGGAGCAAACGGG
rnacentral:rRNA from 1 species